rnacentral:lncRNA from 1 species
UUGACACUUCAAAUAGAUCAGUACCCUACUAAAAAGUUAGCACGUACAAAGGUAAGGAGCCUCACUCAUGUGACCAUGAUCACAUUGUUAUUACUAUUGUUUUAUUAUGUUUUAGAACAAUGCUCAAUUACCAUUAGCACUCAUGCAGUCAUGCCUUCACUGAUGAGAGCUCUUAUUUGUAAAUUUUACGUUGCUGACAUUCUGUUGCAAGGCGCAACCCUAUCGAUCUCUAGAAACCAAACACAUAUAUGUUUUACAUAUAAAUUUACAUAAGUGAUAUACUCAUGUGGACUAAAAAACUAAAAGGGUUGUAUACACUACCAGGACAAGCACUUUAGCCAACGAAAAAUUUUCGUCGGCCUGUCAGUUUAAUUCGUCGGCUAAGAUUUCGUCGGGAAAAGGUCGUCUGUGGUGACUUUAGCCGACGACACAUGUAGAGGUCGUCGGCUAUAGUCCAGAGUUUAGCCGACGAAAAAAAUGUCGUCGGCUAUAGUCCAGACUUUAGACGACGAAAAAAAUGUCGUCGGUUAUAGUCCAAACUUUAGCCGACGAAGCAUUUAAGGUAUUCGUCGGCUAUAGUCUAGAGUUUAGCCGACGAAAAACAUGUCGUCGGUUAUUUCUCCUACUUUAGCCGACGAAAAAUUUAAAAUAUUCGUCGGCUAAAGUUUGUAAUAAAAAAAUAAAAACAUCUAUAGCCGACGAAAUAUAGUCUAUUUCGUUGGCUUUAUAGGGAUUUAGCCGACGAAUUAAAGCGUAUUUCGUCGGCUAAAACUUAUUUUUAAAAAAAUAAAAAACUUUAGCCGACGAAUUAAGGCGUUUUUCGUCGGCUAUAAGUCCAUUCCAGUAAAAAAAAAAACCCCGAAAUUUCUGAAUUACCAUUCCAAGCAAGCUGCAAAAUACACCAAAACAAUUCCAUAUAACCAACAACAAACACAUAAAACUAUAUAAUUCAUUCAUCAACUACAGAAAAUCUAAAUCGUCUAAAUUAAUAUCCGCUUCUGGGGGCUGCUGCGGAGGUUGCGGCGGCUGGGGUAGCGGUAUGGGCGGAGGCAUGGGUGGAGCCGGAAGUCCCUGAAGCUGGGCAGCUGUAAAGUCCUGCAUGUACUGGAACAUCUGCUGCUGCUGGGCCUGUUGGAUGGCAUGUAUCUCGGCAACAUAGGUUGCCUGCGCGGCAUUAUAGGCUGCCUGCGAGGCAUUAUAGGCAGCCUGAGCAGCUUGCUGUUCUCGUAGUCUCUGAACUUCCGACUCUAGCUGAGUCGUCCUGGUGGUCGUGGACGUGGUCCUGCUGCUGGUCGAGGCUGCCUUUCGUUGAAAUCCUGGAGUGGUCUUCAGGACCCCCUCGCCUUUCUUUCCUAGACCCCGGCAGUAGAAGUUGUUUGCUCUCGGUGGGAAGGCUGUGCCCAUGAUCCUCGCCCCAAUCGUUGGAUCCGAAGUGUCGAUCUGGGACAUGGCUUCGGACAUCUCUUCCUCCUGCGUGUCCGGCCAUGUCUCCCUCGCUAUAGCACGCAUCACCUCGUCACUAGCCUCCCUCACCUUCGCCUAUAUGGAUAGGAAAAAAUUAUUAAUUAACAUUUUGACAUAUAUAUAAGUAAAUUUAAAAAUUUAAGGAAACGUAAAAUGACUUACAAUAUCCUCCUGGGUGUCAGGAUAUGCCUUCUCGUACGUAUAGACGUACCGGUUGACUUCUGGAUGUUCCCUGGCUGCCUUGUCCAUGAAGACAGCGAACGGUCUAGAACCGCCAUGAUGGUUCCUUGUGUUGCGUUGCCAGUUCUGAGAGUUCGCUCGGGAAACGGCAUUCAAAGAAAAAAUAAAUUAUUAGUAAAAN